rnacentral:piRNA from 1 species
UNCCAGAUGAAGCACUUGGCAUGGCUGCA